UACUCGAGUGGCGAACGGGUGAGUAACACGUGGGUGAUCUGCCCUGCACUUCGGGAUAAGCUUGGGAAACUGGGUCUAAUACCGGAUAGGAGCCAUCUUUAGUGUGGUGGUUGGAAAGUUUUUUCGGUGUAGGAUGAGCUCGCGGCCUAUCAGCUUGUUGGUGGGGUAAUGGCCUACCAAGGCGGCGACGGGCAGCCGGCCUGAGAGGGUGUACGGCCACAUUGGGACUGAGAUACGGCCCAG
rnacentral:rRNA from 1 species